rnacentral:lncRNA from 1 species
AUAAGAUACUUAGAAUAAAAUAUCAUAUUUAAGUUUCAAAUCAUUUUUUCGAAAUAAGAUAAAUCACAUCGAAAAUACAGUAUACUGUUCUAUCAAAUUAUGAACAAUAAGAUAUUUGAAGAAACAAAUAAUCAAACUGUUUAAUUACAAUUGUACUAGAAAUAAGUCUCAUACUGAAAAAGUUAUUUUUGGUUGGAUAACUUAUUCUGAUAUCCAAACAGACCUU